rnacentral:rRNA from 1 species
GAUGAACGCUGGCGGCGUGCCUAAUACAUGCAAGUCGAGCGAACAGACGAGGAGCUUGCUCCUCUGACGUUAGCGGCGGACGGGUGAGUAACACGUGGAUAACCUACCUAUAAGACUGGGAUAACUUCGGGAAACCGGAGCUAAUACCGGAUAAUAUAUUGAACCGCAUGGUUCAAUAGUGAAAGACGGUUUUGCUGUCACUUAUAGAUGGAUCCGCGCCGCAUUAGCUAGUUGGUAAGGUAACGGCUUACCAAGGCGACGAUGCGUAGCCGACCUGAGAGGGUGAUCGGCCACACUGGAAGUGAGACAGGGUCCAGACUCCUACGGGAGGCAGCAGUAGGGAAUCUUACGCAAUGGGCGAGAGCCUGACGGAGCAACGCGGCGUGAGUGAUGAAGGUCUUCGGAUCGUAAAACUCUGUUAUUAGGGAAGAACAAAUGUGUAAGUAACUAUGCACGUAUUGACGGUACCUAAUCAGAAAGCCACGGCUAACUACGUG